GCACAGUAAAGAUUUCGGUCUUUAUGGGUGGCGAGUGGCGGACGGGUGAGUAACGCGUAGGAAUCUGUCCUGGAGCGUGGGAUAACCCGAGGAAACUCGGGCUAAUACCGCAUGAUAUCGAGAGAUCAAAAGCAGGGGACCGAAAGGCCYUGCGCUCUGGGGUGAGCCUACGUCGGAUUAGCUAGUUGGUGGGGUAAAAGCCUACCAAGGCGACGAUCCGUAGCUGGUCUGAGAGGAUGACCAGCCACACUGGGACYGAGACACGGCCCAGACUCCUACGGGAGGCAGCAGUGGGGAAUCUUGGACAAUGGGGGCAACCCUGAUCCAGCGAUGCCGCGUGUGUGAAGAAGGCCUUCGGGUUGUAAAGCACUUUAGGUGGGGAAGAAAGGCAGUUGUUGAAUACGCAACUGUUAUGACGGUACCCGCAGAAUAAGCACCGGCUAACUCUGUGCCAGCAGCCGCGGUAAUACAGAGGGUG
rnacentral:rRNA from 1 species